rnacentral:rRNA from 1 species
GACGAACGCUGGCGGCGUGCUUAACACAUGCAAGUCGAGCGGUAAGGCCCUUUCGGGGUACGACGAGCGGCGAACGGGUGAGUAACACGUGGGUGACCUGCCCUCAGCUCUGGGAUAAGCCUGGGAAACUGGGUCUAAUACUGGAUAUGACUCCACGGUGCAUGUCGUGGGGUGGAAAGCCUUGUGCGGCUGAGGAUGGGCCCGCGGCCUAUCAGCUUGUUGGUGGGGUGANGGCCUACCAAGGCGACGACGGGUAGCCGGCCUGAGAGGGCGACCGGCCACACUGGGACUGAGACACGGCCCAGACUCCUACGGGAGGCAGCAGUGGGGAAUCUUGCGCAAUGGGCGAAAGCCUGACGCAGCGACGCCGCGUGA